rnacentral:tRNA from 1 species
AAAGGGAGACCUAAUUCAGGUAAAAGACGAAAAAAAAGUAGUCGCUACCAAGAAUCAAUCCCAAAAGGUCGGAGCGAGGCGAAAUUGGCUUUCAAACUAGGUUCUGGGUUCAAACAAGACCUGAAUCAGGAACAAGGGCUAUUAGCUCAGGUGGUUAGAGCGCACCCCUGAUAAGGGUGAGGUCCCUGGUUCGAGUCCAGGAUGGCCCACCUGCACAGGUGGUAAAAACAAGAGAAGCGAGGAAUCAGCACCUUAUCUUACUUAUAUAGUAAGAGAGAAUGCUGGCUCUGAGUAAAGAGUCCAGAGGAACCUUGAAAACUGCAUAGAGCUAGGUGAAAAAGCCAAAAAAGAAGACCGCAAG